rnacentral:rRNA from 1 species
CAAUAGCGUAUAUUUAAGUUGUUGCAGUUAAAAAGCUCGUAGUUGGAUUUCGGGUGGGUACCGCCGGUCUCCCAUUGGGUAUGUACUGGCGUGGCCCGCCUUGCUGUCGGGGACGGUCUCCUGGGCUUAAUUGCUCGGGAAUCGGAGUCGACGAUGUUACUUUGAGUAAAUUAGAGUGUUCAAAGCAAGCCUACGCUCUGAAUACAUUAGCAUGGAAUAACACGAUAGGACUCUGGCUUAUCUUGUUGGUCUGUGAGACCAGAGUAAUGAUUAAGAGGGACAGUCGGGGACAUUCGUAUUUCAUUGUCAGAGGUGAAAUUCUUGGAUUUAUGAAAGACGAACUUCUGCGAAAGCAUUUGUCAAGGAUGUUUUCAUUAA